rnacentral:rRNA from 1 species
CGGGUGAGUAAUGUCUGGGAAACUGCCUGAUGGAGGGGGAUAACUGCUGGAAACGGUAGCUAAUACCGCAUAACGUCGCAAGACCAAAGAGGGGGGCCUUCGGGCCUCUUGCCAUCGGAUGUGCCCAGAUGGGAUUAGCUAGUAGGUGGGGUAACGGCUCACCUAGGCGACGAUCCCUAGCUGGUCUGAGAGGAUGACCAGCCACACUGGAACUGAGACACGGUCCAG